rnacentral:rRNA from 1 species
UACGGAGGGUGCAAGCGUUAUCCGGAUUUACUGGGUUUAAAGGGUGCGCAGGCGGAUGUGUAAGUCAGUGGUGAAAUCUCCGGGCUUAACCCGGAAAUUGCCGUUGAUACUAUAUAUCUUGAAUGCUGUGGAGGUAAGCGGAAUAUGUCAUGUAGCGGUGAAAUCCUUAGAGAUGACAUAGAACACCUAUUGCGAAGGCAGCUUACUACGCAGAUAUUGACGCUCAUGCACGAAAGCGUGGGGAUCAAACAGG